rnacentral:lncRNA from 1 species
UUUAAGGGGUCGAAGUUUAGAUGGAUUAAGAAUAUCUGUAGUCUGUCGAUAGUAAAAUCAAGAAAAGUUUGAAUGCCGCAUUGUCAAAUUUUCUUUUGAAUUACAUUAUCACAAGCAAUUGUUUCUUUCCUGAAUCUCAAUAAAUAUCCUAAGAUAUGACCUUAAAGUCAAAGUGAACACUAUCAAUGAUCCUCAUUUUUUAUGCUGAUCAUUUACAAUGCAUGGUGUUGAAAAGUAAGAAAACUGCAUUUACUUAUUUGUUGGUUCAUGUUUGAAGGUACGUUUAUGAGAUGGCUUCAAGUAAAUUGCUAUUAGUUUUUCAUGCAACUUUUGGUUACAAAAGAUUUGAUCAAGUUGUGCGUUUCUUUCUAUUAUGAUUCUCGUAAACCAAAUUACUUCUUUCAUUGUGAUUUCUCUUUUGGCCUGUAUGUCAAGUUAUUAAUCCUAGCUCCUAUUUAACCGUGUAAAAUUUCCCCCUUUCUUCCAGGUUGACAUGCGAGCUCGAAUUCGUGGAAACAAAGGUUACUAGUUGUUGGUGGAUCAUUUGCUUUAAAAAUACGUGGAGUGAUGCAACAUUCAUGAGAUUGAACUUCCAAAACCCAGCCCCAACAGCCCGAUGAAGGAUGGCGAUAGAGAGUAAAGACCUUGAAAUUUCACUUGCCAAACCUGAUCUAUUAUGCUUGUUUAGUGAAUGUAAAGAAAUUCAGAUUUCUAGUUAAUACUUGGGCAAGGAUUUUAUUUUUCGACACUAAAUAAGAGGAAUUAUCUAGUCAAAAAGAUACAAGCAUGUUUGGUAUAUUGGACUUGAAACCUAAUCCUAUUCUUCCACAUGCUGAACAUACAAGUAAAGCAUUUUACUUGGUUUUUAGAAAUUUUUAAGGGGGAGUAUAACUUUUGCUACUACAUUUAUUAAAUUUUUAUAAUAUUGAAACGUGGAUUAUCCAAUUGGAAUGUGA